AACAAAAAAGGAAAAGAAAAAAAGACUCGUGCAUUUUCGCACUUUAUUCCUCCACCUGCCCAACCCAGGAGAAGAAUUAAAAAAAGAGAAAACUUACCCCCCUCGAUCUCCCUUUUUCUGGGGAUGAGAAGAACCCCCUCGAUAUCCCUUUCAAGCCAUCAAUAUUCCCUUGAACUUGAUCGUUACAAGUAAUUCUUCAAUAGUUUUAUAUUUCUUUUUUUUUUCCUCUGAAAUUUUCGUUUUUCUGAGUUGAUUUUGCCCUUUUUUUAGGAUUGGGUUUGACAUGUUAGGGAUUGGUCUUUAUUGCUUCAAUUAUUUUUAAAUUUUGAACUUAUUAAUUCUAUGAUGAUUAGGGAUCGUGAAAGCUUGAAUCUUUUGGUUUCUCUUAAAUUCAGUUAAUACGUCGAAGAGGAGAAGAGUGAAAAAAAGUAUUUUCGAUUAGAUUGGUUAUGUAUAUUAAUAAUGAAGCUGUGACCCAAAUUGAAAGUUUUGGUGUUCUAAAUUUUGUUUAAAUUUGAUCUUUGGGAACUGUUUGAGCAACUUUGGGGGAAAGUUUUAGAAAAAAAUAUUUUUUAGCUUGCAAAGAGAAACUGUUUAUUCAUAGUUGUAGUGUUUUGAAGAUUUGUAAGUUUUGUGAUAGACAAGGAACACUUGUCUGAGUAACACCUGCAAAUUACUUCUGAAAUAAAGAAUUGCCGGAACUUGAAAAAAUGUGAACAAACAUUGAUCCAAAUUCCAAAGUGAUAUCCCUUGUUUAUUGUUACUACAAAAAACACUUUUACCGGCAAUUAUAUAGUGGCCAUAACGGUAUUGCCGCUAAAUCAUUUGAUAAUUGCAAGCAUUACCGGCCAUUAAUCAUCAGUAGCUUGAAUAAAAUGGACCUGAAUAGAAGUGUUAAUGGAUAUAGAGGACUCAUACAACCGAUUCUAACUUACUUGAGAUUGAGGGUUCGCAUUUCUCCGUCUUUUUGUUUUGCUUGAUAUUUUAUUUUACUCGACAGGAAGGUAGUGUAGGAGGUUGUAGCUCAAGUUGACAAGCUCAGACCUAGAAGGCAAAGGUAGUUCCAACGAGGGGAAUCGAAGUUGUGACCUUUCAGUUAACAUGCCAGUUGCACUACCAAUUAUGCCGGGGUUGCCCCCUCUUCCUCUACAUUUUUGCUACUCUAGUUUUAGUUUAAAUUUUUUCUGGGGGGUGGGAAGUGAGGUGAUUGGUGAUUCACUCUUUUGCACUGCUCUGUUUCUAAUUUGUACUAAUAUACAUUGGGUUUUUGACAUCGGCUAAUGAUAUCUCUAGGGGAGCUUUGUUGGAAGAGAUUGAGACAUUGGUCCAUAGACACCCAAGCAAGCUCUCUGUAGAUUCUCCCCUAUCCACUAUAUUUUCUAACUUUUUUCUUGGAAAACUAAAAUGCAUCACCUCUAAACAUCACAUCUUCAUUCUUGUUUAUGCAGAUCGAGACAUUUACUAGUCAAAACAGAGGGUAUCGUGCAUAGACGACUGUAGUUACUUAUUGCCAGAAUAGUAAAGACUACGUUGACAAGUCAAAGCUCAGAAUCCUUAUUGUAAGUUUACUUUCUCUGAUCCAUUAUUUACUUCGUCAUGUUUAGUAAAAUGAAAAUAUAUGGUAUAAUAUCUCUCCUGGACACUGCUUAAGACAAUUUCCUUGUAAAGAUGGUAUCCUUGUGAGGAAAAAGAAGAGAGGGGAAAUAGAUGGUUUCUACUUUCUAGUGUAUUUUCUACAAAAGACUUUGGUUUAGUCUUUAGAGCUAGAAAAUUCAGAUUGGUCAUUGCUGGUAUUUUUGACUGUUAAAUUGCUUGUAUUCCAGAGUUUUGGGCAGCACGGGAGGGAGCUCAUAACUACAUAGCUUGCAUUGCGGAUUCUUUCCAUUUUAAGUGAAGAGGAAUUCUUAUCCAGUACAUACCCACUUAAUUUGAAUAACACGCUUGAUAAGCUUGUCAUAAAGGUGAAAUUUCAAUUUUCUCGGAGUUAAAUAAUGUGGUAAAUCGAAUGCAUAUUUAUAAUCUAUAUUGAAGUUGUAAUGAUCAGAAUAUUGAACCCUUUAAGUUGAACAAGAUCUCUAUUUUCCUUCAUCCCCUUUUCAAAUUGUUACUUAAUCUUGAGGUUCUUUCAUUGUGAAACCUGCUGAUGUUGCUGUGAUUUGUGCCCCUCCGCCCCCAAUUUACUGAAGCAUUUUGGCUAGGAAAUUCUCAACUACCUUUACUGAAUAUUCCGAUCAAUGAUUUCUUAUCGGCAAAGACAGAUUGACCUUUCACACAGGCUCGUAGAGAAAGCUUGUUAUAGCAUCAUUGAUUUUCCUAUUUUGCCCAACACCGGUAAAUAUCUUUCUAAAAUUAAUUUACUGCAGAUUGAUGGGUGUAAGAGGAAUCUAGGUGAAACUUGGUAAAGAAAUACAUGGUCAGAUUCUGAAGAAAGAUAUAUCAUAUGCACAUUUUGUUUCUUAAGAACUUGUGAAGAUGUAUGGAAAUUGUGGUGCACUUAAGCCACGUCUCCUCAUUCUCCUCAUAGUACUGAUCACCAAGUUGAUGCUUAUUUAGUUAUUUCCAAGGUAUUUAUAACUGUCUCCCUUUUUAGUUGCCAAUGAUUUACAACCUAUUUGAAUCCUUUUUCAGCCUACAAGGAAGCUGCACUAGGAAAUAUACCAACUGCUGCUUAUUAUGAAACUGACAUCAAACCUUGAGAUAUUAUCUUUUUCAUUUCUCCCCAUUGUUUGCCCUCAAAUCUUAAGAGGCUUCUGCAUCUUCCUGGUUUCCUCCUAAACCGAACUAACAUCACUGGUAACUCCGUAGUGUUUCUACCAAUUACUAAUUUGUUUUAAUGUUUGUUACUUUGGAACUAGAAUAUCCUUAGAUAAGUGAUAGAAAUGGUAGUUUUUCUUAUGUUCACAUCCCGUGUCUUUUAUCUUUGUGACUGGUGAAACUGGCAUUGUAAAGUACUUUGGUUUUGGCUUUCUCUAUAAAGAAGGUUAUUUGCAAGUGUGGAUUAUUUGGCUACUUUCCAUUACAUCCAAUCUAUAGUUACUUUCAUAGAAGUUGAGCUAAAUUACAUAUGUCUUGUCUAAGAUCUAAAGGUACAAACAAACUUAUUCAUGGUGUAGCUUUUUCACUUUAUUAUCUCGCCAAGUUGAUGCUAUACAAUAGGCUUAUUGUACCUUUGUUCCUAAUAUGGAUACAUGUGGGUGUCUAUAUGCUUUUCAAGAAUUUGAAGUCCUUUUAUUAAUUUUUUUUAUAUUGUUCUUUUUACAGAUCAUGAAUUAUGUCUGAAGAACUCGUCUUGGGAGUAAGUGCUGAGCAAGUAUAAGCAAUUGAAAUGUUAAAAGAACAAGUUGAAGAAUUAGAGAAAGCUACUGUUGUAUUAGUAUUUGUUUAGAAAUGUUCCCAUUUGUACAUGCCACAAUUCUAUCUCUUUAUUAGGCAUUUAUUGGAAGAUUGUUAUGCUUCUAUAUUUGUAAUUGACCAUAAAAUUUUAUGAUUAUUAAUUGUUUUAUAUAUUUUGGAUGUAUUUAAAAUUCAAUGAAUUGGU
rnacentral:lncRNA from 1 species